UACGUAGGGUGCAAGCGUUGUCCGGAAUUAUUGGGCGUAAAGAGCUCGUAGGCGGUCUGUCGCGUCUGCUGUGAAAACUCAGGGCUUAACCCUGAGCUUGCAGUGGGUACGGGCAGACUAGAGUGCGGUAGGGAGACUGGAAUUCCUGGUGUAGCGGUGAAAUGCGCAGAUAUCAGGAGGAACACCGGUGGCGAAGGCGGGUCUCUGGGCCGUAAACU
rnacentral:rRNA from 1 species